rnacentral:lncRNA from 1 species
GUUAGCUACCCGUUCUAGAGGAGCCUGGAGUCCGGCUCUCGUGGGAGUCCGGACGGAGUCUUCCCGCAGCCGGAGCUGGAGGUGAGAUCUGACUCCCGUAGGAGCCUGGGCGAAGUCCACCUGCAAUCAAAGUCAGGGGUGAAGUCCGGCUCCCUUAGGAGUCCGGACGAAGUUUACCAGCGGUCGGGGUCGAGGACGGAGCCCGGCUCCCGUAAGAGUCCAGGCGAAGCCUCUCCGCAGUCGAGGUCGGGG